GACGAACGCUGGCGGCGUGCUUAACACAUGCAAGUCGAACGGAAAGGCCCUGCUUUUGUGGGGUGCUCGAGUGGCGAACGGGUGAGUAACACGUGAGUAACCUGCCCUUGACUUUGGGAUAACUUCAGGAAACUGGGGCUAAUACCGGAUAGGAGCUCCUGCUGCAUGGUGGGGGUUGGAAAGUUUCGGCGGUUGGGGAUGGACUCGCGGCUUAUCAGCUUGUUGGUGGGGUAGUGGCUUACCAAGGCUUUGACGGGUAGCCGGCCUGAGAGGGUGACCGGCCCCCUUGGGACUGGGAACCGGCCCAGACUCCUUCGGGGGGCAGCGGGGGGGAAUUUUGCCCAAUGGGGGGAAGCCUGAUGCAGCAACCCCGGGUGCGGGAUGAGGGCCUUCGGGUUUUAACCCGCUUUCCCCUGUGACGAAGCGGGGGUGCCGGUAAUGGGAAAAGAAGCCCCGGCUAACUCCGU
rnacentral:rRNA from 1 species